AUACGGAGGGUGCAAGCGUUAAUCGGAAUUACUGGGCGUAAAGCGCGCGUAGGCGGUUUGUUAAGUCGGAUGUGAAAUCCCCGGGCUCAACCUGGGACCUGCAUCCGAUACUGGCAGGCUAGAGUCUGGUAGAGGGGGGUAGAAUUCCUGGUGUAGCGGUGAAAUGCGUAGAUAUCAGGAGGAAUACCAGUGGCGAAGGCGGCCCCCUGGACUGAGACUGACGCUGAGGUGCGAAAGCGUGGGGAGCAAACAGGAUUAGAAACCCUAGUAGUCC
rnacentral:rRNA from 1 species